AUGGCGAGUGUGACCUCGAGGUGCUCCGGCCUCCUCCUCCCGGACCUGCGGCCGGGCCUCGCGGGACUCCGCAGCCGCUCGCGUCCGCCUUCUUCGCCCCGCGUCAGUCUGCGCGCGGGCCGUCGCCGGCCGAGAACCCUGUCCUGCGUCGCGCCGCCCGACUCCGCGGAGCCCAAGACGGACGAGCAGCAGGUGAAAGCUGAGCUGGGUGAAGAAAAGCCUCAGCCAAGCAGCAGCAGCAGCAGCACGCCCCAGGAGGCUGCUGCAGAGCCACCUGUUCCAGACAGGGGUCUCAACAGAAGGAUAGCUGUGCUCACCACUCUUGCCGCGGUGGGCCUCUUUGGAUCUCAGAGGCUCCAACUUGGCGGGUUUUCUCUCAAGGAUCUUGCUGCCAAUGCUGUGCCAUAUGAAGAGGCUCUCUCAAAUGGCAAGCCCACUGUUGUCGAAUUUUACGCGGACUGGUGUGAAGUUUGUCGAGAGUUAGCUCCAGAUAUUUACAAAAUUGAGCAACAGUACAAGGACCGCAUCAACUUUGUCAUGUUGAAUGUCGACAAUACAAAGUGGGAACAAGAGCUUGAUGAGUUUGGGGUAGAAGGUAUUCCUCAUUUUGCCUUUCUGGAUAAGGAAGGAAAUGAGGAAGGCAAUGUUGUUGGGAAGCUUCCAAGACAAUAUUUUCUUGACAAUGUGGUUGCUCUGUCUUCUGGUGAUCCAACGAUACCUCAUGCACGAGCCGUUGGUCAAUACUCGAGCGCAGAAUUCAGAAAAGUCCAUCAAGUUGCUGAUCCCAGAAGUCAUGGCUAG
rnacentral:rRNA from 1 species